GCAUUGCCAUCCAGCGUGGCAAUGCAGCCAGCCUUUUGGGCACGAUCCCCGCUGACAGCGAUGCGGAUGAAUAUUUUGAUACUUAGUUUUAAUAUUUCCCUAUUAUCAAUUGUAUUCAUAUGGUACCAUAAAAAUAAAAUUGCGCAUUGUGCACGUAGGAAGCAACGUAAAAUGAUUUGUUUUUUUUAUUGUAAGUGCUCAAUCACUGUUAGAAUUGAGACGGAAUAAACAUUAUUCUAAGAUGGACAUUUAUUUAGAAUAGCCAUGGUAUGGCACUGUUUGGAUGUCAGUUAAAUAAGUUAAAUUUUGAAGUAAAUAGGUAUGUGGUCUAGUUGAAAAUACAUAUCGCCUAUUUGUGUUACCUAUCAAUCUACGUUGAACUAGGAUCCCUAUCCGAUUUAUUGCCUAAGUAAUUGACAUGACAUUUUAAUGGCCUAGACCAUGAAAUCGGAUGGGGAUCUUUAAAUAGAUAUAGGCUAAUACUAUUUCCUGAAAAAAUGGCUUUUUUUAUUACAAUUUGUAUUCAGUAGUUAAUCCAAAACUGCUGCUUUAAAAUACUUGCGAAUUCCGGUUUGCCGUAUGAUAGCUCUAACUUAACUGAUAAACUGUUUACAUACUAAAAAUACUUACUGCUGUCUGUAAAGUAACAUUUUAAUUUCAAGGGAAUGCAAGAUAAUUAAGGUAUUAGAUCAAAUUAGCCGACUUUAAACACCCUUUCCUAAGUUAGAAUAAAGAUAAAGUUUCUUAAACUUGACAAUAACAAGACUUAGUUUACCAUAGCCAUUACGGGCCUGCUAGAAGAGAUUGCUCCUUAAAUAGGCUGUGCCUUUGUACUAUCUGUUCUAUGUUUCUUUCUAUCUAUAUUCCGUGUGUGGAACUGUGUUCAUAAACUGUUAAAUAAAUAAAUAAAUAAUCUAUCAUCGAAGAUCCUAUCAAUAAAUUGCAUCUCAUACACUGUAACAUUAUACCUAGGAAGUGAUGCAACAAUUAAUCGAAUCUAAAUAACUUCAAUACCUUUAUUUAAAUUAAAUUAAAUACGAACAAUACACGACAUUCCUGCAACUUGUUAUGUAAGAUGGCGGAUGUCAUUAAAAUAAAAACGUUUAUGACUUCAGUUUAUAAGGCGAUGCGUUCCUUUGGUAAACAGUAGUGUCUUACCUUGCAGUUACACCUCGUGUUUCAAAAUCCUAUCAUCCACAAUGAUUCAAGUCAGGCGCAACGUGUCGAGGGCUGUCACCAUGUUGGUGCUGAUGAUGUGCUGGUUCAGCGCGAUGGCUUUCAGGAAUAGCAGCCGCAUCGCCAGCAAGAAACCCAGGAUCAACUACUCCGUAGACUUUGAUUGAAGAUCUUGAUAAAUGAGCGAUUCAGUUUUCAUCGAUAGUUUUGUUUGGUUCUAUUGAUUAAAAUUACAUUUAUUUUUUUAAAUGACCAA